CCAUUCAGUUGGAAGUCACUGGCCACUACACUUAUUUCAACUCAGACCUGUUUGAAUCCUUUGCGUCCAGGCUGUUUCACUGAACAAUGCCACCCAGUGUGUGUUCAGGCCCACUGGCCCCACGGUUACUGCUCUAGGAGACAGGAGCUGACACAAAGCAGCUGUCUGAGACCACUAGAGUGGCAGGAAGUCCUGCCAACAUCUGGUCCUUCUAUUAAGAGACCCUCGAGAAUCAGAGCAGGCGACAGCAGGCAGACUCUAAAGGAGGACGCUGCGCCCUGGAAGCUGGAAUGUGACACGGAGAAGGCAGGAGGCAGAAAUAUUCACCACACUGACAGACACAGACGAGUCAGAAUGGAACUCUGGAGAGCAGUGAAUAUGAAAGAAAGGGAAAUAGGCAGGUCUGUGAGAUUUAGAGAGAGAGAGAGAGAGAGUCUGGAAAAGAAGGAGGGGGAUGGUUGGACGACUAGUAGAGAACACGAAAUGACAUGGGAAUUUCAUUCAGUCUGGACUUGGAAUUUUUCCUGUUAACUUUUGCCGGGAAUUCUGUCCCGAGACUCUCUGGAAAAAAAGCAUUUUUGUACAUGUAUGUGGGUCCAUGUGUACAGGAGUGAAAUUCAUAAAAAAAAAAAAAAAAGUUACGUAAAAUGCAUGACCAUCAAACAGCUAUGAAAAAUACAGAGUUGCCACUGAAUACAUUAGUUCAUAUAAGCUACAAUUAAUAAUGUAUGAAUUUAUUUGCAAAAUAUAUCAAAAUAUCAUUCAAAGUGCCAUUUAUUUUAAAGAAAAACAGCACAAGCUCACUUUUAAAGCAAGUUUGUUUGGUUUUAAUAACAAAACAAUGGAUACACUGUUCAAAAUUCUAAGUAUUCUGACACUUUAUGUUUUUUAAAUGUUAGUGGAUCAUAUUCAUAGUUAAUGUGACAAAAUGCAUCUGUGGUUGCCUGUAGGACAUCUUAGUGAACUUCAGAAAGUAAAGGUAGUUCUGAGAAAAAGUCUAGCAUCAUUUGUUUGCAGAUGCCACUUGAUAUGUUUUGAUUAAAUGCAAUGAAAUUCGUACAUUAUUAUUAUUAUUAUUAUUAUUAUUAUUAUUUAAAUGUUGCAUACAUUUCCAAAUGCUUUUGGCUAGUAUUUUACAAAAAAAAAAGUUUAUAUAUAUUUUUUUUAUUAAAGUUUGUCCAUAUAAAUAAUGAGCAUUCCCAUGACCUUUGAGCACAGUCACUAAGCUGAGUUUGUUGCUUUUAUAGACCAUAAAAGCCUUAGAUAGUCUUUGACCUGUCUCCCCCCCAAUGAGACCAUCUUCAUUUAAUCUGAUAGGAACCACUAGCUGUCUGUCUGUGAUUGAGACCUGAGCUUUUGAUCACUCAGCCUGAUCUUUUAACAACUCCACCAUCACCAUCGAUGAAAUGAUCAAAGUGGGUUUGUACAAUUGAAUGUGACAAGAAGGGAAUAUGGUUAAAAUUAAGCAAAAUCACUUAUGAGCACUGUCUGAAACGUGAUCUGAAGCAAUGCUGAGAUAAGGAAAGUGACUAAAAAGUCUUUAAAAUAUGCUUUUUACAUUCUAAACAACAAAGUUUCACAUGCUGAAAAGCGUAAGAACCUUGUAGUUGCAAUAGUUUUUCUCCAUAUUGCAUGAGAGCGCAUGAUCAAAGAGUAACCGAGUGUUGACAUAUCACAAGUGAAAUGUGAUGUCUAUUGAUAACCUGACUAGUUAAUGGCUGGUAAUAAAGCGAUUCAAGUAGAGACA
ensembl:lncRNA